UUAAGUUAUUAAGGGCGCACGGUGGAUGCCUUGGCACUAGAAGCCGAUGAAGGACGUUACUAACGACGAUAUGCUUUGGGGAGCUGUAAGUAAGCUUUGAUCCAGAGAUUUCCGAAUGGGGAAACCCAGCAUGAGUUAUGUCAUGUUAUCGAUAUGUGAAUACAUAGCAUAUCAGAAGGCACACCCGGAGAACUGAAACAUCUUAGUACCCGGAGGAAGAGAAAGAAAAUUCGAUUCCCUUAGUAGCGGCGAGCGAAACGGGAAGAGCCCAAACCAACAAGCUUGCUUGUUGGGGUUGUAGGACACUCUGUACGGAGUUACAAAGGACGACAUUAGACGAAUCAUCUGGAAAGAUGAAUCAAAGAAGGUAAUAAUCCUGUAGUCGAAAAUGUUGUCUCUCUUGAGUGGAUCCUGAGUACGACGGAGCACGUGAAAUUCCGUCGGAAUCUGGGAGGACCAUCUCCUAAGGCUAAAUACUCUCUAGUGACCGAUAGUGAACCAGUACCGUGAGGGAAAGGUGAAAAGCACCCCGGAAGGGGAGUGAAAUAGAACCUGAAACCGUGUGCUUACAAGUAGUCAGAGCCCGUUAAUGGGUGAUGGCGUGCCUUUUGUAGAAUGAACCGGCGAGUUACGAUUUGAUGCAAGGUUAAGCAGUAAAUGUGGAGCCGUAGCGAAAGCGAGUCUGAAUAGGGCGUUUAGUAUUUGGUCGUAGACCCGAAACCAGGUGAUCUACCCUUGGUCAGGUUGAAGUUCAGGUAACACUGAAUGGAGGACCGAACCGACUUACGUUGAAAAGUGAGCGGAUGAACUGAGGGUAGCGGAGAAAUUCCAAUCGAACCUGGAGAUAGCUGGUUCUCUCCGAAAUAGCUUUAGGGCUAGCCUCAAGUGAUGAUUAUUGGAGGUAGAGCACUGUUUGGACGAGGGGCCCUCUCGGGUUACCGAAUUCAGACAAACUCCGAAUGCCAAUUAAUUUAACUUGGGAGUCAGAACAUGGGUGAUAAGGUCCGUGUUCGAAAGGGAAACAGCCCAGACCACCAGCUAAGGUCCCAAAUAUAUGUUAAGUGGAAAAGGAUGUGGCGUUGCCCAGACAACUAGGAUGUUGGCUUAGAAGCAGCCAUCAUUUAAAGAGUGCGUAAUAGCUCACUAGUCGAGUGACACUGCGCCGAAAAUGUACCGGGGCUAAACAUAUUACCGAAGCUGUGGAUUGUCCUUUGGACAAUGGUAGGAGAGCGUUCUAAGGGCGUUGAAGCAUGAUCGUAAGGACAUGUGGAGCGCUUAGAAGUGAGAAUGCCGGUGUGAGUAGCGAAAGACGGGUGAGAAUCCCGUCCACCGAUUGACUAAGGUUUCCAGAGGAAGGCUCGUCCGCUCUGGGUUAGUCGGGUCCUAAGCUGAGGCCGACAGGCGUAGGCGAUGGAUAACAGGUUGAUAUUCCUGUACCACCUAUAAUCGUUUUAAUCGAUGGGGGGACGCAGUAGGAUAGGCGAAGCGUGCGAUUGGAUUGCACGUCUAAGCAGUAAGGCUGAGUAUUAGGCAAAUCCGGUACUCGUUAAGGCUGAGCUGUGAUGGGGAGAAGACAUUGUGUCUUCGAGUCGUUGAUUUCACACUGCCGAGAAAAGCCUCUAGAUAGAAAAUAGGUGCCCGUACCGCAAACCGACACAGGUAGUCAAGAUGAGAAUUCUAAGGUGAGCGAGCGAACUCUCGUUAAGGAACUCGGCAAAAUGACCCCGUAACUUCGGGAGAAGGGGUGCUCUUUAGGGUUAACGCCCAGAAGAGCCGCAGUGAAUAGGCCCAAGCGACUGUUUAUCAAAACACAGGUCUCUGCUAAACCGUAAGGUGAUGUAUAGGGGCUGACGCCUGCCCGGUGCUGGAAGGUUAAGAGGAGUGGUUAGCUUCUGCGAAGCUACGAAUCGAAGCCCCAGUAAACGGCGGCCGUAACUAUAACGGUCCUAAGGUAGCGAAAUUCCUUGUCGGGUAAGUUCCGACCCGCACGAAAGGCGUAACGAUUUGGGCACUGUCUCAACGAGAGACUCGGUGAAAUCAUAGUACCUGUGAAGAUGCAGGUUACCCGCGACAGGACGGAAAGACCCCGUGGAGCUUUACUGUAGCCUGAUAUUGAAAUUCGGCACAGCUUGUACAGGAUAGGUAGGAGCCUUUGAAACGUGAGCGCUAGCUUACGUGGAGGCGCUGGUGGGAUACUACCCUAGCUGUGUUGGCUUUCUAACCCGCACCACUUAUCGUGGUGGGAGACAGUGUCAGGCGGGCAGUUUGACUGGGGCGGUCGCCUCCUAAAAGGUAACGGAGGCGCUCAAAGGUUCCCUCAGAAUGGUUGGAAAUCAUUCAUAGAGUGUAAAGGCAUAAGGGAGCUUGACUGCGAGACCUACAAGUCGAGCAGGGUCGAAAGACGGACUUAGUGAUCCGGUGGUUCCGCAUGGAAGGGCCAUCGCUCAACGGAUAAAAGCUACCCCGGGGAUAACAGGCUUAUCUCCCCCAAGAGUUCACAUCGACGGGGAGGUUUGGCACCUCGAUGUCGGCUCAUCGCAUCCUGGGGCUGUAGUCGGUCCCAAGGGUUGGGCUGUUCGCCCAUUAAAGCGGUACGCGAGCUGGGUUCAGAACGUCGUGAGACAGUUCGGUCCCUAUCCGUCGUGGGCGUAGGAAAUUUGAGAGGAGCUGUCCUUAGUACGAGAGGACCGGGAUGGACAUACCUCUGGUGUACCAGUUGUCGUGCCAACGGCAUAGCUGGGUAGCUAUGUGUGGACGGGAUAAGUGCUGAAAGCAUCUAAGCAUGAAGCCCCCUCAAGAUGAGAUUUCCCAACUUCGGUUAUAAGAUCCCUCAAAGAUGAUGAGGUUAAUAGGUUCGAGGUGGAAGCAUGGUGACAUGUGGAGCUGACGAAUACUAAUCGAUCGAAGACUUAAUCAA
rnacentral:rRNA from 1 species